rnacentral:rRNA from 1 species
CAUAACGACUCUCGGCAACGGAUAUCUCGGCUCUCGCAUCGAUGAAGAACGCAGCGAACUGCGAUACUUGGUGUGAAUUGCAGAAUCCCGUGAACCAUCGAGUCUUUGAACGCAAGUUGCGCCCGAAGCCAUUCGGUCGAGGGCACGUUUGCCUGGGUGUC